rnacentral:antisense_RNA from 1 species
CCUGCGUGGAGGACCAGGCAGUGAACAGCACAGGCCUGAGCCCAUCCUUGUCCAUGUGAGCUUAUAGCCUGAUGCAGAGACCACCAGGGGCUCCAGGAAAGUUAAGCUGCAUGGAGAGAAAUGAUGGGCCAGGGCUGGGCCCAGGGUGGUUUAGGGAAUGGCAGUGUCCUGGGUAGAAUAGGAAGGCCCGAGACUGACUGAGCUGACGGCGGGGCAAAGUGAAGGAGCCCAGUAUUGGAAGAUCGGCUCCAAAUGUCUCUCUGCGAGGAGACUGCAAGCGACCUCGUGUGUGAAGGGCCAGGCAGAGGCGAGGGCUGAGUGAGGCCAGCAGUGGCCUGGGCACAGGAAGACGGACAUUUCAUAUAUAUGGAUUUCACAGCUAAACUCAAUCCACGCCCCGCACCACAUACAGGCUGCUGUCUCCCACAAGAAUGAUGUCAGGGGCAUUGGGAAAGCAGGAGGGGAGAGAUCUGCUCCACACGCAGGCGGCCUUGGCUGCUCCAAAGCAAUCCGCUGCUCCAGCUUCAGCCAUGGGACCAAGAGGGUAGAGGAGCAGCUUCCGGAGGCCCCAGGCAGAGGCCACCUUGCAGCAGUGACUGGCGACUUUGCGGUGCAUCUCUGCUCACUUGCCGCCCCUUGGGAGUGAGCACCGUCUAUAACACAUCGCCAUCUACAAAAGCCUGGCCACAGUGUCCACCAGCACAUUCAUGAAAAAACAUUUAAAUCAACAUUAACCAAAGUACCUGCAAGGAACACUGCUUACUCUUGCUGUUUGCCCUAUCUGACUGGAAACCU